rnacentral:rRNA from 1 species
GCCUAAUACAUGCAAGUCGAGCGGACCGACGGGAGCUUGCUCCCUUAGGUCAGCGGCGGACGGGUGAGUAACACGUGGGUAACCUGCCUGUAAGACUGGGAUAACUCCGGGAAACCGGGGCUAAUACCGGAUGCUUGAUUGAACCGCAUGGUUCAAUCAUAAAAGGUGGCUUUUAGCUACCACUUGCAGAUGGACCCGCGGCGCAUUAGCUAGUUGGUGAGGUAACGGCUCACCAAGGCGACGAUGCGUAGCCGACCUGAGAGGGUGAUCGGCCACACUGGGACUGAGACACGGCCCAGACUCCUACGGGAGGCAGCAGUAGGGAAUCUUCCGCAAUGGACGAAAGUCUGACGGAGCAACGCCGCGUGAGUGAUGAAGGUUUUCGGAUCGUAAAACUCUGUUGUUAGGGAAGAACAAGUACCGUUCGAAUAGGGCGGUACCUUGACGGUACCUAACCAGAAAGCCACGGCUAACUACGUGCCAGCAGCCGCGGUAAUACGUAGGUGGCAAGCGUUGUCCGGAAUUAUUGGGCGUAAAGCGCGCGCAGGCGGUUUCUUAAGUCUGAUGUGAAAGCCCCCGGCUCAACCGGGGAGGGUCAUUGGAAACUGGGGAACUUGAGUGCAGAAGAGGAGAGUGGAAUUCCACGUGUAGCGGUGAAAUGCGUCGCGAUGUGGAGGAACACCAGUGGCGAAGGCGACUCUCUGGUCUGUAACUGACGCUGAGG